rnacentral:rRNA from 1 species
UGGGGAAUAUUGCACAAUGGGCGAAAGCCUGAUGCAGCAACGCCGCGUGAGUGAUGAAGGCCUUCGGGUUGUAAAGCUCUGUCUUUUGGGACGAUAAUGACGGUACCAAAGGAGGAAGCCACGGCUAACUACGUGCCAGCAGCCGCGGUAAUACGUAGGUGGCAAGCGUUGUCCGGAUUUACUGGGCGUAAAGGAUGCGUAGGCGGAUUUUUAAGUGAGAUGUGAAAUACCCGGGCUUAACUUGGGUAGCUGCAUUUGCAAACUGGGAAUCUAGAGUGCGGGAGAGGAGAAUGGAAUUCCUAGGUGUAGCGGUGAAAGUGCGUAGAAGAUUAGGAAGAACACCAGUGGCGAAGGCGAUUCUCUGGCACCGGUAACUGACGCUGAGGCAUGAAAG